CGACCGGUAACGCCAAAUCCUGCCCCCGGUCGUCGGAACCCAGUCACCCGGGCAGGAGCGGGGGACCCAAACGUUCCUCGGUGCAUCGUCACCUCGGGGUGAAGCCGCCAUCGCGCGGCCGGGCUCCUCGGCCCGAACCCGACAGCUCACCUCGCCGGCGUGGAGGAAGCACAC
rnacentral:sRNA from 2 species